rnacentral:rRNA from 1 species
UACGUAGGGGGCAAGCGUUGUCCGGAUUUAUUGGGCGUAAAGGGCGCGUAGGCGGUCACGCACGUCCGUUGUGAAAUCGCUCGGCUCAACUGGGCGGGGUCGGCGGAUGCGGCGUGGCUGGAGCAAGCUAGGGGGCAAUGGAAUUCCCGGUGUAGUGGUGGGAAUGCGUAGAUAUCAGGAGGAACACCGGUGGCGAAGGCGGGUCUCUGGGCCGAUACUGACGCUGAGGAGCGAAAGCGUGGGGAGCGAACAGG